rnacentral:rRNA from 1 species
GAUUGCAGCUGCAACUCGACUGCAUGAAGUCGGAAUCGCUAGUAAUCGCAGAUCAGCAAAGCUGCGGUGAAUACGUUCCCCGGGGCCUUGUACACACCGCCCGUCACACCACGGGAGUCGGUCGCGCCUGAAGCCGGUGGCCUAUCAGUAAUGGGGGAGCCGUCUAUGGCGAGAUUGGUAACUGGGGUGAAGUCGUAACAAGGUAUC